AGCCACAGCCAUAUCACCAUGCAGCCAGGACUGGUUACUCAAUGAAGCUAAGCAGGGCUGAGCCUGGUCAGCACCUGGAUGGAAGACCACAUGUGAAAACUAGGUUGCUGUUGGAA
ensembl:rRNA 5S_rRNA 5S ribosomal RNA